ensembl:lncRNA
UUCUGCCUCUCCCUCCCACCUAUUCUCCACGCCAUCAAUAUUUUUUUCUUUUCUUUUUUUCUUCUUCUUAUUUUACAGUUCACGCCUUUGAAGGGAGGAAGUUUGCAGAAACCUUUGCAGAAAGAAAGCAAAAACCUGAAGCUGGAGUGAUGUGAUGUAGGGAUAGAACAAGCUGGGGGAGGAGAAGAGAAAGGAGACAAACUAGGUUUACACCUCUGCACUGUUUCCUCUAUCAUCAGUCUCCCGGUAGCUUCUGCACACACUGUCUGUCUUCUCCCCGCUGUCUUUCUCAAAAUCAGUCAAUUUCCAAAAUGGAUGGAAGGCUUAUGCUGAUCAUCCUGGCCCUGUGUAUAAUAAACAUCGACUCUGUGGAAGGGAACAAUGGUACCAAGAUCUCCCAGACCCCUGGAUCAUCUAACAGCACUCAGGCCAAUGUAACGAUUCCCUCCACCCCAUGUAAAUGCCCCAUCACUACUGCCUCGACCCCUCCAACCCAGCCUCAGCCUCAGCCUCCCCCACUCAGACUGGGGGUUCUUAAAGCAAAUUGGAAUGGAGCCUGCGAGGGGAACCUACAGAUGACUUAUUUUAACAUGAACUCAUCAACACCUUUGCCAAACGGCAUUUCUGAAAGCGUAAAACGUCUUGGAUGGUCGGGAUUGUGUAAGCGAAAGGGUUGUGGAGGCAAUCUGCAGUGGAAAGAGAUAAAAAUCUCCAAACGUCCCAACAGAGAUUCUGGAGAGGCGACCGAGCAACCCAUGGACAUCAUUGCCUUCCAGUGUACUGUGGUCCCAGAUCCUGAGCUGGUGGGUUACAAGGUGGUGGUUUCCAUCUUCUGUGUCCUGGUAUUGGUGGUGCUGAUACUUCGAUUUGGACGGCCCUCCCUUAAGGCCUUCCGUAAGAAAAUGUCAGACAGGAGACAGAGUCGGUGGAUCGGGCCUACACAGAGUCAAAGUGUCUCCUACCAUAGGGGAAAGGCUGGAAUCCAACUUAACGACAAAACAGAUAAAAGAACGUCCUUCCCUGGAUUGGAGAGACUGACGGUGAACAACAGCCGAGAACCUUCGUCUAACAGGAACAGUGACUAUGACUCGUAUAACUUAUAGUCAUCGUCAUCAAUGCCAUAUUUUACAUUCACACUAUGAACCACUGUACAUGUGUUCGUUAUAUUUUGUUAUAUAUUUUUUACCAAAAAUGUUCAAUUUUGUAUACCUAAUAAUAAUGUUUCGUACUUGUAUGUUUCUCAAUGUUAUUCAAGCGUUUGCUUUUAUUGUGUAACUUUAACCAUGCGGUUGAAUAAAAGAUUUGGACAGAUUGUACUGCUGUGUGAAGAAAAGGUUCAGGGAUGGUAAAGAACUGCAAGAUAAAAGAGAUUGAGUGAAAGGGGGAUAAAGAAGGAGUGAUAAACUGGAUUAUGUAGAGAUGAGGGAAGUGGUGAGUAAGUGGUCACGCGUGCACACACACACACACACGCUUGCACACACACAUGUUUCUGCAGAGAUACAGCUUCCUGUGCCGUUGACACCAGCAUCCUGUUUGUGUUAUUUCUGGCACUCGUUCAUUCACUCAGACUCUUGCUCUAAAUAAAUGUUUACCUAUAUCUUUACCUUUCUUACCUUUUUUUUUACUUCUCAUCCCGGAACGACCUCCAUCAUUCUUUUGUCUUCCUUACUUCCUCCAUCAGUCGCGUUCUUUAGAACCUGUUCUUUUCCUCCAUCUUCUUUUCCACUGAGACACUUUUCAGUUGUGUUUUCUACGUUUCGGCAUUGGCGGAGAUUGUUACUCUUCGGAUUUCUUUCGGCAACUGUUUGUGAGUCAGUGGAAGAAAGAGAGUGAGGCAUUUUACAUUAAAUGUAAAAUAUAAAAAUGUAAGUCAUUUAGCAGCCCUCUGCCAAAGUACAUAAGAAUGCCUUUGGAAACUAUUCAGACCCCUUCUCUUUCUCCACAUUUUGAUACCCCAUGGCAUGAUGCUCCCACCACCAUGCUUUACUAUUGGAUGAUAUUACCCAGAC